UGCAGUCGAGCGAAUGGAUUGAGAGCUUGCUCUCAAGAAGUUAGCGGCGGACGGGUGAGUAACACGUGGGUAACCUGCCCAUAAGACUGGGAUAACUCCGGGAAACCGGGGCUAAUACCGGAUAACAUUUUGAACUGCAUGGUUCGAAAUUGAAAGGCGGCUUCGGCUGUCACUUAUGGAUGGACCCGCGUCGCAUUAGCUAGUUGGUGAGGUAACGGCUCACCAAGGCAACGAUGCGUAGCCGACCUGAGAGGGUGAUCGGCCACACUGGGACUGAGACACGGCCCAGACUCCUACGGGAGGCAGCAGUAGGGAAUCUUCCGCAAUGGACGAAAGUCUGACGGAGCAACGCCGCGUGAGUGAUGAAGGCUUUCGGGUCGUAAAACUCUGUUGUUAGGGAAGAACAAGUGCUAGUUGAAUAAGCUGGCACCUUGACGGUACCUAACCAGAAAGCCACGGCUAACUACGUGCCAGCAGCCGCGGUAAUACGUAGGUGGCAAGCGUUAUCCGGAAUUAUUGGGCGUAAAGCGCGCGCAGGUGGUUUCUUAAGUCUGAUGUGAAAGCCCACGGCUCAACCGUGGAGGGUCAUUGGAAACUGGGAGACUUGAGUGCAGAAGAGGAAAGUGGAAUUCUAUGUGUAGCGGUGAAAUGCGUAGAGAUAUGGAGGAACACCAGUGGCGAAGGCGACUUUCUGGUCUGUAACUGACACUGAGGCGCGAA
rnacentral:rRNA from 1 species